GCAGUCGUGGCCGAGUGGUUAAUGCGAUGGACUAGAAAUCCAUUGGGGUCUCCCCACACGGACUCAAAUCCUGUCGACUGCG
rfam:Ixodes scapularis strain Wikel colony gcontig_1108378949222, whole genome shotgun sequence.